AGUGGGAUAGCUGGGUCAAAUGGUGGUUCCAUCCCAGUUUUCUGAGGAAUCUCCACACUGCUUUCCAUAGUGGUUACACCAAUUUGCAGUCCCACCAGCAAU
rnacentral:pre_miRNA from 1 species